UAAUAAGUGUUUUAUGGCACUUUUUAAAUCCAUAUCCACCUUGUAUGCAAUGUCAGUCGAUCUUCUUCAUGGAGAUCGACCAAACAUCAACCUUUAUCUUUUAACUCUUGUCUGAAAAAUAUUAUGAAUAAACAAUUCAAAAUA
rnacentral:misc_RNA from 1 species